GACGAACGCUGGCGGCGUGCUUAACACAUGCAAGUCGAACGGAAAGGCCCUGCUUUUGUGGGGUGCUCGAGUGGCGAACGGGUGAGUAACACGUGAGUAACCUGCCCUUGACUUUGGGAUAACUUCAGGAAACUGGGGCUAAUACCGGAUAGGAGCUCCUGCUGCAUGGUGGGGGUUGGAAAGUUUCGGCGGUUGGGGAUGGACUCGCGGCUUAUCAGCUUGUUGGUGGGGUAGUGGCUUACCAAGGCUUUGACGGGUCGCCGGCCUGGGAGGGGGAACGGCCACAUUGGGACUGAGAGACGGACCAGACUCGUACGGGAGGCAGCGGGGGGGAAUAUGGCACAAUGGGCGGAAGCCUGAGGCAGCAACGCCGCGUGCGGGAUGACGGCCUUCGGGUUGUAAACCGCUUUCGCCUGUGACGAAGCGUGAGUGACGGUAAUGGGUAAAGAAGCACCGGCUAACUACGUG
rnacentral:rRNA from 1 species